ACACUUUCCAAGCAGAGAGAAGACCACAAUCAAGAAGAUGAUUUCCUCAUGGCUUUUCCAUUGCACUUUGGUUGAGUUAACCCCCUGUGAUUUCCCCAAAUAUGGGAAUCUCAGCUGCAUCAUUUACAGUGGUGGGGUGGGGGAGUCUGCGUUUGCACAACCUCUUG